GAUGAACGCUAGCUACAGGCUUAACACAUGCAAGUCGAGGGGAAACGGCAUUGAGUGCUUGCACUCUUUGGACGUCGACCGGCGCACGGGUGAGUAACGCGUAUCCAACCUUCCCAUUACUGUGGGAUAACCUGCCGAAAGGCAGACUAAUACCGCAUAGUCUUCGAUGACGGCAUCAGAUUUGAAGUAAAGAUUUAUCGGUAAUGGAUGGGGAUGCGUCUGAUUAGCUUGUUGGCGGGGUAACGGCCCACCAAGGCUACGAUCAGUAGGGGUUCUGAGAGGAAGGUCCCCCACAUUGGAACUGAGACACUGUCCAAACUCCUACGGGAGGCAGCAGUGAGGAAUAUUGGUCAAUGGACGGAAGUCUGAACCAGCCAAGUAGCGUGCAGGAUGACGGCCCUAUGGGUUGUAAACUGCUUUUGUAUGGGGAUAAAGUUAGGGACGUGUCCCUAUUUGCAGGUACCAUACGAAUAAGGACCGGCUAAUUCCGUG
rnacentral:rRNA from 1 species